UCCGAUUUGUCACCGGCAGUCUCCCUAGAGUCCCCGUCUUUCACGCUGGCAACUAGGGACAGGGGUUGCGUUCGUUGCGGGACUUAACCCAACACCUCACGGCACGAGCUGACGACAGCCAUGCAGCACCUGUGCUGGUACCCGACUCUACGGGUCGCCGACCCUUUCGGGCGACUACUGCCAGCAUGUCAAGCCCUGGUAAGGUUCUUCGCUUUGCAUCGAAUUAAGCCACGCGCUCCGCCGCUUGUGCGGGCCCCCGUCAAUUCCUUUGAGUUUCAGCCUUGCGGCCGUACUCCCCAGGCGGGGCACUUAAUGCGUUAGCUGCGGCACCCAGGGGGUCAAUACCCCGGACACCUAGUGCCCAUCGUUUACAGCGUGGACUAC
rnacentral:misc_RNA from 1 species